CUUUCCCUGAAGAAGAGGAGGAUAUUUAUAGCCAGGGAUGGGUCUUCCCAGAGUCUUCUCCCCCGCUGUGAGACCUUGUGUACUGGAUGAGGAAGCACAGGGCAGGUGAUGAAGGAAGGGCGAUGAUGCUGGGCUAUGUCGUGGUUCUCACCAGAAGCAUCUGGGCUCGGAGAGGUGGAGGACACCCCAAGCCCACGAGGCUGAGACCUGGCGGCGGACUCGAGAGGGGGGAAUAAAAUGCUCAAAUGUCAGCUUCUGAAUGGACUAUUAGAGGCCAAGGCAAAGACCAACUGCUCCUUCGUCUCUGUGCGUGGGUGCCCGCAUGCACAUAACCACGAUGCAGGGCAAGCUCUGCUCCUCCCUUCUGGCCUGGGUUGCAAUGAUGGAUUAAGUAGGUUUAGCUGUUGGAGGAUACGUCUUGUGUAGUCCACGGUCUCCAAGCAUUUUAAAAGGAAACUAACACAGCGUCUCUCCCAGGCCCCUGCGCUGACCAGACUGAUGCUGGCGAGCAAUUUGGAGGCCAGUCAUGUCCCACAGGGUGGCUGCAGGACACGUUGCCUCGUGUGGCCGCCGUGAUCAGCUGGACUGCUUCUGGGGAGGGGGGCACGCUGGCACGCGAGAUGGCCCUUCAAAGUGGCGCUGAAGUUAGGGGGGUGCUCUCUGAUCCCGGUCCGUGAGGCCCCCGUUCCUGCCCUGACCUCCCCGUGCGUUACGGGAGGAGUUUGCUUUCAAUCUGGAAACAUCUGGCGCUUUCUCUUCUUUUGCCAGCACCAUUAAAUGUCGCCUUGGAGGGAAACACAAUACAUCACCUUCCUCGUGGGCUGCCAUUCAGCCAAGAGUAACAGAGAUUAGCCUUCAAUCACACGGGAGCUGGAGCUGAAGGAAACCUUCCCGAGGACACGUUGGAGAAACAUUUUCAUUAGCAGAGGAGAACUUGACAGAGACGAAGGGCCCCUUCACCUCGACUGCCGGACCUCUCCCCUGCCUGGCGUUAACAGGACAGGGAGAUGCUAACGGAGGAGCUGGUGCCAGCUGCAACACUUUAAGUGCUGUUUGCAUCCAGAUGUGAGAAACAGCUGUGACACAGUGAGGCAGUGCUUUUAUAGCCUGGUGGGGGUGGCUUUGGUUUUUUUCCUGCCUAUCGAUGAACACUCCCUGCUGGAAGCAAACUGGCUCUUUCUGUGCCAUCAGUUGAACGGAGGAAAUGGGUGCUAGGUUUUGAGCUGCGUACCUAAAUGUGUACCCUAGCAUGGGCCAGAAAAAGAUGUCCUUGGGUGAUAAGGACCAAUAGGUCCAGGAGGUAUUGUGCAAAUUUAACAGGACUGCCUUUGUGGUAGUGGAGGCUUUCUCUGCUCUAUGGAAAGCUGUUCCACAGCCCACUGUUGCAGGUAUCUGCUCUUAGUCUGCAUCCCCCCAGGGCAGUCAGGAUGCCCAGGAUUCGCUUCUGCUGUUGAACUCUCCCUUGUGUGGCAGAAACACACCCUGGGCCCCAGCUGGGUGCCUGGCACAGACCUGUCUGUCCUGGUUACUGGGAAUUAGCCAGCAGGAUCCCUGCGACCGGCGUCUGCCGUCCUCCCCCUCGCCUCCCUGGGGCUGGCGGGCUCCUGACAACCGCAGGUUCCCUCUCUUUCACUCACAGCUGAAGGAUGCCUUGCCUGGUCCUGUCUUGCAGAUCAUUCUCCCUUUGGGGCUGCCUGCAAUACUGCAUUAACAUCACAUCUCUGUGGUGAAGGUAAGCUGGUGCUCAGCUCUCCCCAGGAGCUGUCAUCUCUCCUUGCUCUCUGGGUGCCCACCACACACACAACCCUCUGAGAAGAGUCUCCCUGGCUGGGAGGGCGACAGGCUCAGAGAUGUUCAUGUCUUCUGGCAUGGGUUUUAUCAGGAAUAUGAUUUGAGCUUCCUGAGAGGGAGGUGAUGUAACCUGGCAGCUAGAGCAUUGGUUUGGGACACAAAAUCAGGUGGCUACUGGUUUUGGAGCAUUCUCACAUUAAGGUACCUCUCACUUCCCCCUCCUUCCUUUCAGAAGUGAGAGCAACCAAAAUUAGAGGAAAACCUGGCUCCUGAGUAUUUUUCCUCCCCGAUCUCUUCACCUGGCUUAUUUUCCUUUUUCUCCUACAAUCUCAGCUGGCUGAGUUGCAGUGCCAGCCUAUUGAAAGGAAAGGCACGUGCUGGCUUACGGAGGAAGAGAGACCUGAGACAGGAUAAAUCUGGAGGCAAUGAGAUUGGGGGAAGGCAAGUCAGCUGCUCUGACACUUUUAUUAUGGAGCCAGGCUGCUUGGGAAUGAAUCUUUCUUGAAGCAUAUGUUGCUGGAUGACAUUUCUACCAGGUCUCGGCAGUAACCUCCAGCAAGCCUCAGUGCCCAGCCCUGUGCUCGCCUGCUCCCAGGGCAAGGGGAGCAAAUUUCAGCUGGAAAUACCACAGGCAGCAGGGCUCAACGGUGCUCGAUGCACCUCUGAUGAGUCUGAAAGCACCUGGACUUUAGCACCAGGAAUUCUUCAGGCUUUGGUGACUUUAGCUUACAGAUGCACAUAUUGUUUUACAAGGG